rnacentral:rRNA from 1 species
UACGUAGGUCCCGAGCGUUGUCCGGAUUUAUUGGGCGUAAAGCGAGCGCAGGUGGUUUAUUAAGUCUGGUGUAAGAGGCAGUGUCUCAACCAUUGUAUGCAUUGGAAACUGGUAGACUUGAGUGCAGGAGAGGAGAGUGGAAUUCCGUGUGUAGCGGUGAAAUGCGUAGAUAUAUGGAGGAACACCGGUGGCGAAAGCGGCUCUCUGGCCUGUAACUGACACUGAGGCUCGAAAGCGUGGGGAGCAAACAGG